CCGCCAGGCCGGAACACCCCUCCCCUCCCCUCCCCUUAGUGAGGAAGGAUUUGGGCCGCAGACCAGGGUGGUCCCAGGACUCCAGCGGCCUGCUGUGGUGGCGUGGGGUGGGGUGGGGGCGUGGCAGAGCUUCCCAAGGAAGUCACAGGACCUGGCCUUGGGAUCUUCAGAAGCGCUAGUCCAGUUCUGGCAGCCUGAAUUCUUCCUUCUCCGAGACAAGAAGAUACAGAAAAUGAAAAUGAAAAUAAAAUUUGGUACUACAGCACAAAGGUCCAGCUUGCAGAAUUAACUGACUGUCUAGACAAAGAUUAUUGGGAAGCAGAACUCUGCAAAAUUCUGGAAGAAAUGCAUGAAGAAAUCCACCGACACAUGGACAUAACUGAAGACCUGACCGAUAAGGCUCGGGGCAGUAACAAAUCCUUUCUGGCAACAGCUAAGGGCAAGAGGGGCAUUUUCUCAUUUUAUUUUUGUUAAGUCUGAGCUAAACUGUUGGUAUGAAAUCACUGCAAAAUUUAAAAAUA